rnacentral:rRNA from 1 species
GGGCGUAAGCGCGCGCAGGCGGUUUCUUAAGUCUGAUGUGAAAGCCCACCCCUCAACCGGGGAGGGGCAUUGGAAACUGGCGAACUUGAGUGCGGAAGAGAGUGGCGGAAUUCCCUGUGUAGCGGUGAAAUGCGUAGAUAUGUGAAGGAACACCAGUGGCGAAGGCGACCUUUUGGACUGAUACUGACACUGAGGCGCGAAAGCGUGGGGAGCAAACAGGAUUAGAUACCCUGGUAGUCCGCGCCGUAAACGAUGUCUGCUAGGCGUUGGAAGCCUUGAGCUCUUAGUGGCUGCAACUAACGCAUUUAGUUGACCGCCUGGG